UACGGAGGGUGCAAGCGUUAUCCGGAUUUACUGGGUUUAAAGGGUGCGUAGGUGGAUAAUUAAGUCAGUGGUGAAAUCUUCAGGCUUAACCUGGAAACUGCCAUUGAUACUAUUUAUCUUGAAUACUUUGGAGGUAAGCGGAAUAUGUCAUGUAGCGGUGAAAUGCUUAGACAUGACAUAGAACACCAAUUGCGAAGGCAGCUUACUACACAGUAAUUGACACUGAGGCACGAAAGCGUGGGGAUCAAACAGG
rnacentral:rRNA from 1 species